rnacentral:lncRNA from 1 species
GCCGUGCCGUGCCGGGGAGGAGCCCGCGGGGGCGCUCCCUCAGGUGAGCGAGGGGCUGCCUCGUGCGCGCGCGGCGCUUUCCCGCCCAUUGCCUGAGGGGAGCGCGGCGCGCGGGGGGUUGACGAGGUGUUCGCACGCCUGUACUCCACUCCUACUUUGUUCAGCCUGAGGCAAACGGUGCCGGGACGAAAGGGGGCGGCUGGAACGGUCCUCAAGAGCAGCAGCCCAACCCCGAGCCCAGGUACCGUCAGCUCGAGGCCGCCUGUCAGCCGAGCGUUGUUUUGCCUCACGAGCGAGGCGCGGGGGCGGCGGGAACUGCUGAGGCAGCGCGGGAUGGGGCGGGCAGCGCGGGUCUGAACGUGUGGAGGAAUUUGUUUUUUACAAUACCAAUUGUAUGCUGUUGUGGUACUGCUGAUACAACCCAGAGCGCUGAGUUCCCUCUGCUUCUAACCCAGCCUCACAAUGUGGAGAGUAUCCUUACUGAGAUGGAAAUUUGAAUGAGGAAGAAUGGUCCAUUCCCAGUGGAGAUAUAUUUAAGAUCCUGUCAUGCAUCAGUGGUGGCCUUUCUAGGCUGGGUUACCGGUAAGUGCAGAGGAGAUCAUUACUCCUGCUUCAGCCAUUCUUUUCAGAUUAAAACAAUGGCAUUCACAUCGAUAGGAA